rnacentral:tRNA from 1 species
GUUUUUGUAGUGUUAAUAUCAUGCACGUUAGAUUUUCAUUCUGAAAGAGUAGAUUUUUAUAUUUACCAAAAAUA